UAUCACUUGAAUAAAAAAAUGAGUUAACACAGCGAGCUUGCUUGACUGCGUGUCACGUUUGUUCUUAGGCAUAAUAAUCUAUCGUGUUUGAUUUUAUUUUGCCAAUACACAGGAACUCUUGCAUUGGAAUGAGUCGUUUGUAAAUAAAAUAGUGACUUUUAUAUGAGUAGUGCUAUAUAAACAGUACCAAUGAUUAAAGAUUAGAAUAACAUAACUUCUUUUACUACCAUUUAUACCUACUGUGCGACCGUGAAGGUUGAGAAUGUUACGUCAUUUUGCUUUUAGUGUGUGAUAUAAACUUACUUAUUUUGUUUCUGUACUGAGACGUGUUUUUAACUCAAAGAGUGUUUGAAGUUGUGAGUAGUAAUAACAAGUGUAAAACGUCUGAAAUGAGUGGUUACUUACAUACACCGGCUGCGACAAAAUGCCGCCAUGUUAUUUAGGAUUCGCAGUUUCGCUGUCAACUACGGAUCGUGGUUAGCCCUGAUACAGUCGGAGGAUAUUUAUUAUUGAAAACCUGUGGUUAAUUUGGUUUUGCACUUUUAUAAUAACGUAACAUCGCCACGGAGCGCCAGAACUCAGCGCUAACGGGCGCCAAUCGCUUCAAUGAAACAUAUAUGCCAGUACUGGCUAUUGAAGAUGCAAG